rnacentral:lncRNA from 1 species
CCUUAAUGAGUCACACCUUGAACUCGCUAAUGGAGAUGGAACAGUUAAUUAGGCAAGGGGAUUAGCCAAAGAACAAUUCAUCUUCUUUAUCAACACAAUCCAUGCUGUGACUCUCAUCUUUGCCCUGUACGUCUGACCUUCAUACUGUGCAAAAGACAUUCUUGGUGACACUACCCAUGGGCAACACCUUCUUCUAAUUACCUUCUACAAGGGGGAUUUCAUCAUCAGGGUUCCUGCUCUGUGUGUGUGUAUAUAUAUAUGUAUCUGCACACACAGAUGCGUGAAUGCGCAUUUAAGCUAAGUGUUCUGGAACCAACCUUGGAACACAGGUUGGCUGUGAAACAGGUCAAGAAACUAUGUCUGCCAUGAAGAUAACAGGCACUUUUGUGCUCCUCACCCUGGCAGUUCUUUGCUUAGCAAAUGCUGCCAAAGAGGAUGCGGUAAGUCAUUUUCUCCUUUAUUUCUUGACAAAAAUACAUAGUUUGUAACAACAGUGCACAGAGAUUGAUGAGGUCAGAGAAAACAUACUAAGCAUUAAUUAAUUGCAGCCAAAGUAAAAAAGAAAUCCCUGAGGUUGAGAUAUGUGGUUUCCAUAUAGUUGCCCUGACACCUUCCAGAUGUUUGUUUGUAUAAUGCAGUCUGUGCAAGAGAAUGGGUAAGGCAAAAUUAUAAGCCAGAAAAAUCAAGAUUUAAAAAAAAAUAUUUAUCUGAUGACAUUAUAAGGCUUGCUUGGUGACUUUCAGAUCCUAAAUCAUACACUUAAAGAUUUUAAUUUAUCCCUGACUGAUGGAGCACCCAUUCUGGUGUCAUCCUCUGAAAUAAAUGAGCCACUAAGUAAUACAAGUCCAUGCUGAGGUGACCAGAGACAAUUCCUUGAGGGGUCCAGCGGAGAGCAGCAGUGUGUGGAAAUCCGUGCGUGAACAGACACAGCAUGGCCCCAAACUAGCAAAACAUACACAGCAUUCAGUGCUUGAACCUACACAGCCAUACACUCUUUUCCAGGAAGAGACUGUUCCACUCUCCCGUUUUACAAACCAUUACAUGUAUAUACGAGGCAAAU